rnacentral:rRNA from 1 species
UAGGGAAUCUUCGGCAAUGGGGGGAACCCUGACCGAGCAACGCCGCGUGAGUGAAGAAGGUUUUCGGAUCGUAAAGCUCUGUUGUUAAGGAAGAACGAGUGUGAGAAUGGAAAGUUCAUACUGUGACGGUACUUAACCAGAAAGGGACGGCUAACUACGUGCCAGCAGCCGCGGUAAUACGUAGGUCCCGAGCGUUGUCCGGAUUUAUUGGGCGUAAAGCGAGCGCAGGCGGUUAGAAAAGUCUGAAGUGAAAGGCAGUGGCUCAACCAUUGUAGGCUUUGGAAACUGUUUAACUUGAGUGCAGAAGGUGAGAGUGGAAUUCCAUGUGUAGCGGUGAAAUGCGUAGAUAUAUGGAGGAACACCGGUGGCGAAAGCGGCUCUCUGGUCUGUAACUGACGCUGAGGCUCGAAAGCGUGGGGAGCGAACAGG